rnacentral:rRNA from 1 species
UACGUAGGGUGCAAGCGUUAAUCGGAAUUACUGGGCGUAAAGCGUGCGCAGGCGGCUAUGUAAGACAGGUGUGAAAUCCCCGGGCUUAACCUGGGAACUGCAUUUGUGACUGCAUAGCUAGAGUCUGUCAGAGGGGGGUGGAAUUCCACGUGUAGCAGUGAAAUGCGUAGAGAUGUGGAGGAACACCGAUGGCGAAGGCAGCCCCCUGGGAUAAGACUGACGCUCAUGUACGAAAGCGUGGGGAGCAAACAGG